rnacentral:pre_miRNA from 1 species
AGUUGCAUUACAGGGCAAGAUCUCCGCUGGCAGGUAGCCACUCGCCAUGAAACGUUCCAGGGAAAGGAGUUUCCAUAAUAAUCGUAUUCGUUCUCCGAGUGUGCUUUCUGCCAAAGGAGAUUUGUCCGGCAAUUCUUCU